rnacentral:ncRNA from 1 species
UCUGGCAAAGCUAAACCUACCGUGAGAUGGGGACGGAAAGCCGCGGAUCUUUUAUCAAGACAGCCGGGUUGCCUGAA